AUCCAUGGCCAGAAAUUCGUUUAUAACCUCACAUCUAUUCUGUGACACAUCAAAACAAAAAGAGGAAUUUAGUUUUGUUAAUCUGUUAUUAGUGGUUUAAUGCACAAAUUCUGAAUAACAAAAAUUGGAAAAUAAAAAGAAAUGACAGCAAGGAGUGAAAUUGAAACAUUAUUAAACGGUAGCAUUACAGAAGACAAAGAUGCUUUAAAAAAAUUCAUUGAAAGUAAUACAGCAACUUUCAAUUUCGCAUUUUUGGAUUUGAAUAGUAGCCGUAAGCGUCUUCUCGACAAAUUGUUUAAUUAUCUUCAGUUAGAGGAUGCAAGAGAUAUGCAUAGAGACUGCCUCAUUGCUGUAAGAAUUUUAAGUCGUGAUAAGAAAGACUUAGAUAAUAUUUUGGAUUUGAAGCACUUAGAUUUAUUAAAGAAAUUUGCUGGAUUGGAUACUAACUGCACUGCUUCUGAAGACAAGAUUGACCAUGAACUAGAAAUAGAGGCUCAAAAAUGUCUGUGCAAUAUUAUAUACAAUAGCCAUGUUGCAGCUGCAUACUGCAGUAAAAAUGGAAUAAUUGAAGGAGUGAUUGAGCGGAUAAAGAAGUAUAAGAGAUUUAAAAAAAUACCCCUGGACAUAAAAAUAUUUGAUAUGAAAAUUUUAUUUUUAAUAACGGCUCUGUGUGAUGAAACCAGACCAAAGUUAAAAGAAGAUCUACACGGUUUGAAAUAUUUAACAGAAGUGUUGGAGCAUCUUACAACAGAUGAUAAAGAAUCUGGACCAAACGGUGGUGCCUCUUCAGCUCCAGUUCAGAAAAAAAUAUCAAAGGAAGAAUCGAAUUAUGCUUGCGAGGUACUUAAAGUUCUUUUCAAUUUAACCGUAAGUCAAAAUCUUUCUUCACAACCAGACGAAGAAGAAGAGUCGAGAUAUAAGGAGUUGGUCGCAAUUUUACGCGAUAUGUUGGUUGUCAAAAUUGAAGACCAAAAUACAAAAUUAGAAUUAACAAAUAACAUCGUAAAUUUAAUUACCAAUAUGCCAACAAGUACAUAUAGUGCUCUUCACAGACCAGUGAAAGAUGAAGAAAAAAUCCCCAAAAAAUUUCAGUUUGAUGGCCAAGACAUGAGAGCAGUUAAAGAAAUACUUGUUCUUUUGGAAAACAAAUUUUCUACAGAAAUCGCUGUUAGAAGUCAAACGGAAAUCCUGUCACCAAUUUUGACAGUAUUGGUAAAAGGUGUAAGUAGCGAUAGAUAUUUAAGAAAGUAUUUACGCCAAAAUAUACUUCCGCCCCUAAGAGACGUACACACCCGCCCAGAAGAAGGCAACACUCUUCGUAACAAUCUUUGUCGUUUGCUGACGACAACCAUAACUCAUGUACGGGAUUUGGCAGCAGAUUUACUUUUUAUUUUAUGCAAAGAAAAUGUUGGUCGCAUGAUUAAAUACACUGGUUAUGGUAAUGCAGCUGGUUUAUUUGCGAAUCGUGGUCUCUUGGGAGGCGGACGCCCUGGAGAGCGACGAUAUAGCUCUGAGAGCGAAGACAGCGACACCGAAGAAUAUCGUGAACACAAACAUGGAAUUAAUCCUGUUAUAGGGUGUUACGAACAACCCAAAACUAAUCCGAUGGCACAUAUGACGGAAGAACAGAAAGAAUAUGAAGCGAUGAAAUUAGUUGAUUUAAUGGAUACUCUAACUAGAACUGGCAUAAUUCAACCCUGUAAAAUAGGUGAAGAUGGAAGACCAGAACCUAUAGAACAUGUUCUGCAGCUUCAAGAAGGUAUACCUGCUCAACAGGUUCGUCGAAAUCAAGACGAUGACUAAUGACAAUACAAGCAGAAGUUAGAGACAACCCUAAAUAAAAUGGAACCUGUGUCGAUAGAAGUGCAGCAGUGCAUGGAAUGAAUAUAAAGGAAAAUAAAAAUAUCGGAUGAAGCGGCACCUGCAAGAAGCAUUGAUGUAGAAGUACCUUUUUCCACUGGGAACAGAGGCAAUCUGUUGUUACUAAAGGACGGACAAUUAACUGAUUAACCGAUAAAUGAGACAGAAAGAGAAGGUUGAAGUUAAUUUUGAUUCCUGGUACUGAAAAAAUCAAAUCGUUUACCAUGGUACUCUUCGCUGUUUACUUUACGCCUUGGACAAUUUUACAGUCAAUUGAGAUUAGCCAACCGUUCAGGCUGAUUAUACUGAAACAACCAAUGUCUACAAUGAUGUCGACUUUGCUGGACUUGCUUAUUGAUUUGCCGUUUCCGUCUUCAUUGUGCAACAUCAUGCAGAUAAUUUUCAACCUUCGAGUGAAAGCAACCAGAGGUACAUGAGGGUACACUGCGAGUAGAGGAAUGAACGGGAUAUUGUCCUACAAAUGAGAAGAAAAUGCAGUUAACUUUGAUGCUACUGAAACAACCGAUGCUUUUGACGUCUUCACCUUGCAACAUUAUGCAGUUAAUUUUUGCUGUAACAAUGGGAGGCAAUUGGAAAUUAAUUAACUUGGAAGCGAGGGACAAAAAAUUGCUUGCUGUGGUAUCCCUCCUAGAUUGGUUUGCUCAUCACACUGAUAGACUUUAGAACGCCAGUUUCUACAAUUAAUUAAGGUUAUACAAUGAAUGAGGGAGAAUUGAUGUUCAGUUUGGUUAUCCUGAAACAGCCAAUGUCUACAUGGGUGUGGUCUUUCGAGGAUUAUAUUCUUGAUUUGCUGUUUCGUCUUCGCCUUGUAACAUCAUGCAGUUAAUUUUCAACCCUUGAGUGAGAGCAACUGGAUAUUUAUUUGAAUUCCACCGAAAUAACAAAUCCUCUGCUAUAGUAUUCCUCCUGGAGUUGGUUUACUUUUCACACCUAUAAACUUUGGAAUGUUAGUUCUACAAUUGAUUAAGGUGAAAAUACUUGAUAUAAUUUAUUUUAAUUGCUCAUUAUUAAUCUAUUUGCCACCGUAUCUGUUUCAGAUCGACGUUGGAGA
rnacentral:misc_RNA from 1 species